rnacentral:misc_RNA from 1 species
GUUCAAAAUUUGGUGGAUUCAUUUAAAGUAUUAUUUUAUACAGAAGUUUAGCAAAUAUAAGGAUUAUGCUAUGGUGGUCAGACAUAUAAGCAUGGAUUUUUCUGUUGUAAUGUGCAAUGUUAAGCCCUAUGACCAUUGUUCCCUGAAAGGACGAAGGAUGCUCUUCACUUAGGUGACAGGGCAUGGUACCCUGACACUGGUGCCUCUGCCCACAUGACUUCGGACCCAGGGCAUUAAGGAAUAAGAGUUGAACAAGCGAGAUUAGGGCCUGUUCACUUGUGGAAAAUUGGAGU